CUGCUAACAGAUCUACCACUACACCCACUAAUAAUUAAAGUUACCUGGGUAUCCAUCUUGAAUGCUGUUAAAUUCAGCUGUUAACAAUUAUUCCAGCUAAACCAUUCAAAAGGUGCUUUGAACUUGUUUAAGGUCCUUCGUAACACUGUGCAGCUGGGUAAGAGGCUACGUUCUCACCUGAACAGAAUACCAUUAAUAAUUUAUGCUGGGAGUCAGGGACUUUGUCCUAGGGUACUUGCAUAGGCAUAGUGGCCACUUUUCCAAGAUAAGAACUUGAAACUGUAUAUUCCUUGAGGUUACAUUGCAGACACCGGAUCCUGAUGUGUUGCAACCAGAUCUAGUGACAGGCAGUCCUACCUCUGCUGGCAUCCUUGUAGCACUGUCCUCAUACUCAGUCCCACAUACAUGAGCUGAUGAAAAAUCAGACCUCGAGCUUCAAACAAUUUCUACAGCAUAAAUAAAAAGACAGAGAGAACAAUUAUUAGUUUUUCAGG